rnacentral:rRNA from 1 species
AUUGAACGCUGGCGGAAUGCUUUACACAUGCAAGUCGAACGAUGAACCUUAGCUUGCUAAGGGGAUUAGUGGCGAACGGGUGAGUAAUGUAUCGGAACGUAUCCAAUAAUGGGGGAUAACUAGUCGAAAGAUUAGCUAAUACCGCAUACGUCCUACGGGAGAAAGCUAGGGACCUUAGGGCCUGGCGUUAAUGGAGCGGCCGAUAUCUGAUUAGCUAGUUGGUGGGGUACAGGCUCACCAAGGCGCCGAUCAGUAGCUGGUCUGAGAGGACGACCAGCCACACUGGAACUGAGACACGGGCCAGACUCCUACGGGAGGCAGCAGGGGGGAAGUUUGGACAAUGGGCGAAAGCCUGAUCCAGCCAUUCCGCGUGAGUGAAGAAGGCCUUCGGGUUGUAAAGCUCUUUCGCAAGGGAAGAAAACUUAAGCUCUAACAUAGCUUGAGGUUGACGGUACCUUGAUAAGAAGCACCGGCUAACUACGUGCCAGCCGCCGCAGUAA